ensembl:lincRNA Gm10804 predicted gene 10804
AUGUCUGAGCCCAUGAGUUCUCAUCAGUAUUGCCUCCAGUCUUUUGGGCCUGCCUGGGACCUUUACUUUCUUGGGCUGUGGAACCAUAAUGUACUGACCUCGAAACCCAUCCUGGCUGGGUUACAGCCAGGACAACAAACUUGUUUCCACUGGAGAGCCUGGGUGCAUUCUAGUAGCAGUGAUUUAAUCAAAGAUCAUCCAGACCUGAUUUUACUCACUGCCCCUUGCUACCUCUGA